rnacentral:rRNA from 1 species
AUACGUAGGGUGCGAGCGUUAUCCGGAAUCAUUGGGCGUAAAGCGCGCGUAGGCGGUUUAGUAAGUCGGAUGUGAAAGCCCUGGGCUCAACCUGGGAAUUGCAUUCGAUACUGCUUGACUAGAGUAUGGUAGAGGGAAGUGGAAUUUCCGGUGUAGCGGUGAAAUGCGUAGAUAUCGGAAGGAACACCAGUGGCGAAGGCGACUUCCUGGGCCAAUACUGACGCUGAGGUGCGAAAGCGUGGGGAGCAAACAGGAUUAGAUACCCCAGUAGUCC